UACAGAGGGGGCAAGCGUUGUUCGGCAUUACUGGGCGUAAAGGGCGCGUAGGCGGCCUGUUAAGUCGAACGUGAAAUCCCCGGGCUCAACCCGGGAACUGCGUCCGAUACUGGCAGGCUUGAAUUCGGGAGAGGGAUGCGGAAUUCCAGGUGUAGCGGUGAAAUGCGUAGAUAUCUGGAGGAACACCGGUGGCGAAGGCGGCAUCCUGGACCGAGAUUGACGCUGAUGCGCGAAAGCCAGGGGAGCAAACGGG
rnacentral:rRNA from 1 species